rnacentral:tRNA from 1 species
GGGGUAGGACGGUACGGUGACCUGGUCUGUCUGAUACACAGACCGUUCCGUGUUCGACUCACGGCUACCCCA